AACGAACGCUGGCGGCAGGCCUAACACAUGCAAGUCGAACGCCCUAGCAAUAGGGAGUGGCAGACGGGUGAGUAACGCGUGGGAACCUUCCCAUUGGUCCGGAAUAGCCCAGGGAAACUUGGAAUAAUACCGUAUAAGCCCGAAAGGGGAAAGAUUUAUCGCCGAUGGAUGGGCCCGCGUAGGAUUAGCUAGUUGGUGAGGUAAUGGCUCACCAAGGCGAGGAUCCUUAGCUGGUCUGAGAGGACGAUCAGCCACACUGGGACUGAGACACGGCCCAGACUCCUACGGGAGGCAGCAGUGGGGAAUAUUGGACAAUGGGCGCAAGCCUGAUCCAGCCAUGCCGCGUGAGUGACGAAGGCCUUAGGGUUGUAAAGCUCUUUUGGCGGGGACGAUAAUGACGGUACCCGCAGAAUAAGCCCCGGCUAACUUCGUGCCAGCCGCCGCCGUAA
rnacentral:rRNA from 1 species